UGGGGAAUUUUGGACAAUGGGCGAAAGCCUGAUCCAGCAAUGCCGCGUGUGUGAAGAAGGCCUUCGGGUUGUAAAGCACUUUUGUCCGGAAAGAAAUCCUUGGCUCUAAUACAGUCGGGGGAUGACGGUACCGGAAGAAUAAGCACCGGCUAACUACGUGCCAGCAGCCGCGGUAAUACGUAGGGUGCAAGCGUUAAUCGGAAUUACUGGGCGUAAAGCGUGCGCAGGCGGUUUGCUAAGACCGAUGUGAAAUCCCCGGGCUCAACCUGGGAACUGCAUUGGUGACUGGCAGGCUAGAGUAUGGCAGAGGGGGGUAGAAUUCCACGUGUAGCAGUGAAAUGCGUAGAGAUGUGGAGGAAUACCGAUGGCGAAGGCAGCCCCCUGGGCCAAUACUGACGCUCAUGCACGAAAGCGUGGGGGAGCAAAACAGGAUUAGAUACCCUGGUAGUCCACGCCCUAAACGAUGUCAACUAGUUGUUGGGGAUUCAUUUCCUUAGUAACGUAGCUAACGCGUGAAGUUGACCGCCUGGGGAGUACGGUCGCAAGAUUAAAACUCAAAUGAAUUGAC
rnacentral:rRNA from 1 species